GGUGGAUAAGCGGCUGGGCUAAGUGAAAAUCCUUUAGUGAGUCGCGCAGACGAUUACUGAAAACUUUCAAGAGAAUGCCUUUUCGCGGCUCUUACUAUUUCCGGUGAAGAGUAGCUUUCCCUGUACCCGGUCUAGUCUUUCCUCGAAUGUCAUUGCUAGCAGAGAUCAGAAGCAACGGCAUUACCACCGGGGGAGCUGUUAGUGUAAUUGAAUAUGCUCUUACUGUUGGAGAAGAC
rnacentral:misc_RNA from 1 species